GACGAACGCUGGCGGCGUGCCUAAUACAUGCAAGUAGAACGCAGUUGCGAACGGGUGAGUAACGCGUAGGUAACUGCCUCAUAGCGGGGGAUAACUAUUGGAAACGAUAGCUAAUACCGCAUACUUUGAGAUGGACCUGCGUUGUAUUAGCUAGUUGGUGGGGUAAAGGCUCACCAAGGCGACGAUACAUAGCCGACCUGAGAGGGAGAACGGGCAAACUGGGAAGUGGGCACGGCCCAGACUCCUACGGGAAGCAGCAGUAGGGAAACAUCGGAAAUGGACGGAAGUCUGACUGAGCAAAGCCGCGUGAGUGAAGAAGGUUUUCGGGGUGGAAAGCUAUGUUGUUAGAGAAGCGGUAACUAACGAGAAAGGAACGGCUAACUACGUGCCAGCAGCCGCGGUAAUUC
rnacentral:rRNA from 1 species